GAUGAACGCUGGCGGCGUGCCUAAUACAUGCAAGUCGAGCGAACAGACGAGGAGCUUGCUCCUCUGACGUUAGCGGCGGACGGGUGAGUAACACGUGGAUAACCUACCUAUAAGACUGGGAUAACUUCGGGAAACCGGAGCUAAUACCGGAUAAUAUAUUGAACCGCAUGGUUCAAUAGUGAAAGACGGUUUUGCUGUCACUUAUAGAUGGAUCCGCGCCGCAUUAGCUAGUUGGUAAGGUAACGGCUUACCAAGGCAACGAUGCGUAGCCGACCUGAGAGGGUGAUCGGCCACACUGGAACUGAGACACGGUCCAGACUCCUACGGGAGGCAGCAGUAGGGAAUCUUCCGCAAAGGGCGAAAGCCUGACGGAGCAACGCCGCGUGAGUGAUGAAGGUCUUCGGAUCGUAAAACUCUGUUAUUAGGGAAGAACAAAUGUGAAAGUAACUAUGCACGUCUUGACGGUACCUAAUCAGAAAGCCACGGCUAACUACGUG
rnacentral:rRNA from 1 species